GGAUGUGAGGGCGAUCUGGCUGUGACAUCUAUCACCCUAUUAAUCACCACGGUUGAUUCUCCACUGAUUUGGCUGGUUACGCAGGUGUCCCCUUUCUCCCUCACUGCUUAUGUGCUUCCCUCCCAAAGCUGCAUGGUCGGUAUUCCCCAAAUAAUGACAGACUGGUCUUUGAUCGAGUGUAUCCGAGUAGUGGCUCUACCCUGCUAGAACCUCCAAACAAGCUCUCAAGGAGUCUUGUUUUUAUGCCAUCCUGAAAGGGAAGGGAAUCUGAAAAAUACCAGAGGAAGUCAGGCAUAGUUUCUCUCAUUUAGAGAGAAGAAAAAAAUG
rnacentral:snRNA from 1 species